UAACGCAUUAAGUGUACCGCCUGGGGAGUACGGUCGCAAGAUUAAAACUCAAAGGAAUAGACGGGGACCCGCACAAGCGGUGGAGCAUGUGGUUUAAUUCGAAGAUACGCGAAGAACCUUACCUGGGCUUGAUAUCCUAAGAACCUUAUAGAGAUAUGAGGGUGCUAGCUUGCUAGAACUUAGAGACAGGUGCUGCACGGCUGUCGUCAGCUCGUGUCGUGAGAUGUUGGGUUAAGUCCCGCAACGAGCGCAACCCACGUAUUUAGUUGCUAACGGUUCGGCCGAGCACUCUAAAUAGACUGCCUUCGUAAGGAGGAGGAAGGUGUGGACGACGUCAAGUCAUCAUGGCCCUUAUGCCCAGGGCGACACACGUGCUACAAUGGCAUAUACAAUGAGACGCAAUACCGCGAGGUGGAGCAAAUCUAUAAAAUAUGUCCCAGUUCGGAUUGUUCUCUGCAACUCGAGAGCAUGAAGCCGGAAUCGCUAGUAAUCGUAGAUCAGCCAUGCUACGGUGAAUACGUUCCCGGGUCUUGUACUCACCGCCCGUCACACCAUGGGAGUUGAUUUCACUCGAAGCCGGAAUACUAAACUAGUUACCGUCCACAGUGGAAUCAGCGACUGGGGUGAAGUCGUAACAAGGUAACCGUAGGAGAACCUGCGGUUGGAUCACCUCCUUUCUA
rnacentral:rRNA from 1 species